GAUGAACGCUGGCGGCGUGCCUAAUACAUGCAAGUCGAGCGAACAGACGAGGAGCUUGCUCCUCUGACGUUAGCGGCGGACGGGUGAGUAACACGUGGAUAACCUACCUAUAAGACUGGGAUAACUUCGGGAAACCGGAGCUAAUACCGGAUAAUCUAUUGAACCGCAUGGUUCAAUAGUGAAAGACGGUUUUGCUGUCACUUAUAGCUGGAUCCGCGCCGCAUUAGCUGGUUGGUAAGGUCACGGCUUACCAAGGGAACGAUGCGUAGGCGACCUGAGAGGGUGAUCGGCCACACGGGAACGUGAACACGGUCCAGGCUCCUACGGGAGGCAGCAGUAGGGAAUCUUCCGCAAUGGGCGAAAGCCUGACGGAGCAACGCCGCGUGAGUGAUGAAGGUCUUCGGAUCGUAAAACUCUGUUAUUAGGGAAGAACAAAUGUGUAAGUAACUAUGCACGUCUUGACGGUACCUAAUCAGAAAGCCACGGCUAACUACGUG
rnacentral:rRNA from 1 species